GUCCACGCCGUAAACGAUGGGUACUAGGUGUCGCGGGUGUUGACCCCCGCGGUGCCGACGCUAACGCAUUAAGUACCCCGCCUGGGAAGUACGGCCGCAAGGCUAAAACUCAAAGGAAUUGACGGGGGCCCGCACAAGCGGUGGAGCAUGUGGUUUAAUUCGACGCAACGCGCAGAACCUUACCCAGUCUUGACAUCCUGGGAAUCCUCUAGAGAUAGAGGGGUGCCCUUCGGGGAGCCCAGAGACAGGUGCUGCAUGGCUGUCGU
rnacentral:rRNA from 1 species